CGAUGGGGUCGCGUUGAUCCACAUUGCUCACCGAUUGACAGCAUGGAUGUCGCCGCUGCAACGUACGUCCUCUCUGGCUUAGGUACACCUACCCUCUCAUUUUCCUUUCUGUUGGGCUGCUUCCUCCUUUUUCUCACUUCUCUCUUCCGUCAUACAUGGGUGCUGGUAAAUACAUGGAAAUGAGUGCUGAUGCCUGAUGAUACUGAUUAGGACAGGUGCCACGGUAUAUGCGGUUCAGCACAAGGAUCUUUUGGGAGCGAAGAGAGGAACUGUCGAGACUACUGUAUUUUUUCAAGGACAACUCGAUCUGGGUAGGCUGCUGUUGAGCUCACCCUCAUCAACAUAAGGAUGCCUGAUAUUGUUGGUUCUCUGCUAUUUCAGUUCUCUGAAUUAUAGAUGAGCUGCUGGCGCCACAACACAAGGAUUAGCUGGGCUAUGUGUGGAUUAAGGAGAACAAAAUAUACCAUACAUGCACCAAAAGAGACAUAAUUGUGGGAUAUCUGCCUAUGCUGGUUUACCAUAAUUGUGAGAUUAAUGGUGAUGGCGCAGUGAACAUUUUUGAAGCCACAGUUGUUGGGCCCAGAAUGUUUGCCAUUGGUAUCACGAUACGGGGCAUUUGUCCGGACUCAAUCUCCAAAGAUAAAGAUGAUUGGUUCUCUUUUAAGCCACUGGAUGAUGGAAAGGAUGAUGGUACAAUAAUGUGUUGCAAACUUAUCUUCUCAUGGAACUUCUAAUGGACUUCUACCAAACUAGUCAAUAAAGAAAUCCAUCGCGAAUAAUCAUUUUCAGUUUUCUCCAAGAAUAUUUCCUUGGAUUAUGGACAGCUUUCUUUAGCCUUUUACAGAAGGAAAUAUUGU